rnacentral:rRNA from 1 species
UACGAAGGGAGCUAGCGUUGUUCGGAAUCACUGGGCGUAAAGCGCACGUAGGCGGAUUUGCCAGUCAGGGGUGAAAUCCCGGGGCUCAACCUCGGAACUGCCUUUGAUACAGCAAGUCUUGAGUUCGAGAGAGGUGGGUGGAAUUCCUAGUGUAGAGGUGAAAUUCGUAGAUAUUAGGAAGAACACCAGUGGCGAAGGCGGCUCACUGGCCCGGUACUGACGCUGAGGUGCGAAAGCGUGGGGAGCAAACAGG